UCCCACAUAGCUCAGUCGGUAAAUCAUCUGCCUGAAAUGCAGAAGCCCUGGGUUCGAUCCCUGAGUUGGGAA
rnacentral:tRNA from 1 species